rnacentral:rRNA from 1 species
GACGAACGCUGGCGGCGUGCCUAAUACAUGCAAGUAGAACGCACAGUUUAUACCGUAGCUUGCUACACCAUAGACUGUGAGUUGCGAACGGGUGAGUAACGCGUAGGUAACCUGCCUGGUAGCGGGGGAUAACUAUUGGAAACGAUAGCUAAUACCGCAUAAUAUUGAUUAUUGCAUGAUAAUUGAUUGAAAGAUGCUAUUGCAUCACUACCAGGUGGACCUGCGUUGUAUUAGCUAGUAGGUGAGGUAACGGCUCACCUAGGCGACGAUACAUAGCCGACCUGAGAGGGUGAGCGGCCACACUGGGACUGAGACACGGCCCAGACUCCUACGGGAGGCAGCAGUAGGGAAUCUUCGGCAAUGGACGAAAGUCUGACCGAGCAACGCCGCGUGAGUGAAGAAGGUUUUCGGAUCGUAAAGCUCUGUUGUAAGAGAAGAACGGGUGUGAGAGUGGAAAGUUCACACUGUGACGGUAUCUUACCAGAAAGGGACGGCUAACUACGUG